CCUGCUGGUGCAAUGGUUAAGUGUUCAACUGCUAAUUGAAAGAUUGGUGGUUCAAGCCCACCCAGCAGCU
rnacentral:tRNA from 1 species